rnacentral:rRNA from 1 species
UUAGCCCUAAACACAGAUAAUUACAUAAACAAAAUUAUUCGCCAGAGUACUACUAGCAACAGCUUAAAACUCAAAGGACUUGGCGGUGCUUUAUAUCCUUCUAGAGGAGCCUGUUCUAUAAUCGAUAAACCCCGAUAAACCUCACCAAUUCUUGCUAAUACAGUCUAUAUACCGCCAUCUUCAGCAAACCCUNNAANGGAAAAAAAGUAAGCGNNNUUAUGAUACAUAAAAACGUUAGGUCAAGGUGUAACCUAUGA